CAAGUGUCCACGGCCUUAUUCUCAGUUUCUCACCACUCCACAGAAGCCGAAAAGGGAGGAGAAACAAAAAACAGAAGCCACAACUGAACCAAAAUGGGAGUCCAUGGUCUGUGGGACCUUCUUGCUCCCGUCGGCCGCCGUGUAUCCGUCGAAACCCUCUCCGGCAAAAAGCUUGCAAUCGAUGCGAGUAUAUGGAUUGUCCAGUUCAUGAAGGCGAUGAGAGACGAGAAGGGAGAGAUGGUACGGAGCGCACAUUUGCUAGGGUUCUUUCGUCGAAUUUGCAAGCUCUUGUAUUUGAGGACUAAGCCAGUGUUCGUCUUCGAUGGUGCCACCCCCGCUCUCAAGCGGCGUACCGUGAUUGCCCGACGGAGGCAGCGUGAGAAUGCCCAGGCUAAGAUUCGCAAAACCGCCGAGAAAUUGCUCCUUAAUCACCUCAAGACGAUGAGGCUAAAAGAAUUGGCAAAGGAUCUUGAGAAUCAGAGAAAAAAGCAGAAGAAGGAUUCUAAAGGUAUGAAGAUUUUGUCGGAUCAAACCCAAGAGGAGGAGAGGAAUCUGGAGAAUAGUGGUGUGGAGAGUUAUGAUCAAGAAAAGUUGGAUGAAAUGUUGGCAGCAACUAUUGCGGCUGAGGAAGAUAGUCAUUUAAAUAACAACACAUCAACGUCUGCUGCUGCAUUUCCUGCUGUGCAGGCAGAGGAUAGUGAUGAAAAUGAAGAGAUCAUAUUGCCAGCAUUGGGUGGUAAUGUUGAUCCAGCUGUCUUGUCUGCUUUGCCUCCAUCAAUGCAACUUAAUCUUAUGAUGAGACAGAGUUCAAUGGUGGAAAACAGAAAAGAUAAUAAAAAAGUCAAGGAUAUCGGAUACCAGGAGGAGGAUCAAAAGAGUAAUGCAAAUGGUAAGGAGCCUUUGUUAGAUCUAACCAAUACAGAAGGGAGUAAUGUAGAGAGGAGUGAUGUGGCAGCAGAGUGUUACAACCAGGAAAAGUUAGAUGAAAUGUUGGCAGCAUCUAUUGCGGUUGAGGAAGAUGAAAGUUUAACUAAGAGUGCCUCAACAUCUGCUGCUGCAAUUCCUUUUGAGGAGGGAAGUGGAGAUGAAAACGAAGAAAUGGUCCUGCCAGCAAUGUGUAGAAAAGUUGAUCCAGCUGUCUUAGCAGCUUUGCCACCAUCAAUGCAACUCGAUCUUCUUGUUCAGAUGAGAGAGAGGUUGAUGGCUGAAAAUAGACAAAGGUAUCAGAAAGUCAAGAAGGCACCUGAAAAAUUUUCUGAGCUACAAAUAGAGGCUUACCUUAAAACUGUUGCUUUCCGCCGGGAAAUAGAUCAAGUGCAGAAAGCUGCUGCUGGGACGGAUGUAGGUGGUGUUCAGACUUCACGGAUAGCUUCUGAAGCCAACAGAGAAUUUAUCUUCUCAUCAUCCUUUACAGGAGACAAACAAUUGUUUACAUCUGCUGGAAUGCAGAGAAAUGGAAAUGAGCAACAACAGAUGCCAAUAGGGUAUUGUCCUUCAGAUUCUGUGGAUCAUGUUGCAUCCACUAGCAAGUCCAAUACUAUUACAGGAAUGUUGCAGGAUGAAUCUACAAGGGUGUUUGAUGAAGAUGUUGAGACAUAUCUAGAUGAAAGGGGUAAUAUUCGAGUUAGUAGAGUGAGAGCUAUGGGGAUGCGCAUGACCCGUGAUUUGCAAAGGAACUUGGAUUUAAUGAAAGAAAUUGAACAAGAGAGAACAUGUGCAAUGAAGAGCGCAAGUGCUCAGUCUGAGCUUAAUAAAGAGAAUAUUGGUUCUUCAGAAAGAAUUUCCAGUAAAAAACAUCAUAUAAAAAAUUCACAUGGUGAAUUGAAUAAUAGAAAUGGGCAGUCCAGCUUAGAUAAUGAGAGAUCCAUAAAUAUAUCUUUUGAUGUUGAUGUUGAUGGUGAAAGUAAGUGUUUUGACAGUGAUGACAACAUAUUUACUUCUUUGGUAGCAGGAAAACCUGUUAAGAUUGAUUCUGCUUCAGAUAGUGAUUGGGAGGAAGGGAGUAUUGAAGGAAGAGAUAAUAAUUCUUCUAAUGAUAUGGCAUUAGAAACUAAUCCUCCCCCUCGUCCUAAGGAAAGCAACAUUAGUGAUGAUAGUGAAGUGGAUUGGGAAGAGGGAGUUUGUGAUGUUCAUGAUUCCUCACUCCCAUCUGAAUCAGGAAGAAUAGCUUCCAGAGGUUAUUUGGAGGAGGAGGCUGAUUUGCAAGAAGCAAUACGGAGAAGUCUUGAGGGUUUGGGGUGUGAAAAAUUAAAUCAAGAACCAUCUGAGCUUGAAAAUUUAAUAAGCACCAAGGUAAAUACUCACAACAGUGUCAUAUUCAUUGACCAAGAAGAUAAUGCUGGUGGGCGAAUUCUUGUUGAGAAGGAUGUCUCCCAACAAAAUAAACCCUCUCCUGAAAUUUUGGCAUUUGGGAAGCUUGACAGCAUGGGUCAAAAUGAUGUCUCAAAGGUCUAUUCUUCUUCAGAUAGGCAGUUGAAGGCUGAAACACAUUAUCCUCCUAACAUGGGUGUCCUAACAAAUAAAUCAUGUACAAGAAAUCUGGGUUCAAAUGCUGGACAAUCAAAUGAAGAUAAAAAUAUAGGGAGCAAUCUGUGCAGAGAAAUGCCAUCUGCGGAAACAGCUGCUCCUUUGGAAGUAAAGGAUGUACAUGUGAUGGUGGAGCAGUUUUCAGAUACUUUUGUUGGGGAUAUUGGGUUAUCUACAAGUAAAAUGUAUUCAGGUGAUGGUUCUCAUGUUUCUGGAGCAUUAUCCGGUAAGAUGUCUUCUUCUAUACCAGUUAAUGAUGAACUAAAUGAAAUGGAAGCAGAACCAUCCAUGUUGGUCAAUGAGGAGAGAAAACCUGAACCAUCACGUCAGCCAGUUGAAAUAUCCAAGUCCAACCCUUCCAUACAUAUCACUGGCCUAUCCAAUGAUUCAACAAUUGGCACUGAUAUUGAAGCCAAUUUGGUUGGAAAAAAAAUUUCUGAUUAUGAUUUAGAUGAAAAAGAGCAUUACAUGAACGAAUUUGCAAGAAAUGAGAAUCUGCAGGCUGGCAUGUCAGAGGCCAGUUUGCGGGAGGAAAUAUUGACUCUUGGUCAAGAAUUUACGAAUCUAGGAGAUGAACAGAAGAAGCUGGAACGCAAUGCAGAAUCAGUUAGCGGUGAGAUGUUUGCAGAAUGCCAGGUCUAUGCUCCUACUUCAGGAUGACUUAUUUCCAUCACAUGGUUAUAAUAUGAAUAUGCUGAUUGACUAUUUCUUAAUAUGGUUUCCAUCAUAUGAUUUUCUAUCCAUUAUUCUCUUAACCUCAGACAAAUGACACCAGGGCAAAUGAUCAAUUCUUUUGCAGGCUUUACCUUUCACUUGCAAGUGUUGCAAACGAAAUUAUUAAUCUUCUUGGUUGUCUUAUCCUAAAUGGAUAAUUUUGUGUCUACAUGAAAUGGUUGAACAACAUUAUAGUGUACUAUUAUGUAUAUAUAUAGUUCAAUGAUCUCCUAAAAGGGAAAUGAAGUUCAACAUUUUGAUAUAUUGUUUCCCAUUGUUUACAUAUUUUAAAUAUUUUGUUAAAAUUUCUAAUCUAGAUCGAAAUCCUUCUAUAUUAUCAUCCUCAAUCAUUGUUUGCAAUGAUAAAAAAUGCCUCAGGAUUUUUGGGUUUCUACUUUCAAUCUUUACAUUCUUUGCAUUGGAUGAAGCUGAAGGAUAAUCUACUGUGAAUUUGUUAUCAUAACAUUUAAACUAUAAAAGUUUAGCUUGUUUGUUUAUGAGAGUAGUUUGAUUUCUGAGGCCAUCUUAUUGGGCUAUGGUUUUCUGUUUGAAUGUCAAUCAUUGGAUCAAGAAUAGCUGUUUUGUGAAGCACACAGAUCUUUAUUUGUCAAGUGAUCAUUAUUGGUUCUUUGGAAAAAGUGAAACUGAUAUUAUUUACGUGUUCUAUUAUAUGCAGGAACUGCUGCAGAUGUUUGGCUUACCAUAUAUUAUAGCACCAAUGGAAGCAGAGGCUCAAUGUGCUUACAUGGAGCUUGCAAAUCUUGUUGAUGGUGUUGUGACUGAUGAUUCUGAUGUGUUCUUGUUUGGGGCACGAAGCGUGUACAAGAAUAUAUUUGAUGACCGCAAAUAUGUUGAAACAUACUACAUGAAGGUGUGCAAUAGCAGAAUGAUUGAAGUCUCUGCUUUCCUCUUCCCCCUCCCCCUCCCUCUCCCAAACAUCCCUGGGAUUCUUUUCAGUAUCACCUGCAAUUAUUAUCUGCAUAAAGUUCCUUUUAUGAUUCUAAUUUUCUCCUAAAAUUUAACAAUUUUUAUGGUGUUUGAUAUUGUGGCAUGAAUAUGCAAUUUAAAUAAUUUUCUUUUUACUAGACAAGCCUCUAACCUUAAUACCUUGGGAUUCUUUAUGUUUUCUCUUUUAAGCUCAUGCAUUCUUGUUUCUCAGGAUAUUGAAAAGGAACUAGGCCUAACCAGGGAAAAACUAAUUCGCAUGGCUCUACUUCUUGGAAGUGAUUAUACCGAGGGUAUUAGUGGGAUUGGCAUUGUUAAUGCUAUUGAAGUAGUGAAUGCAUUUCCUGAAGAGGAUGGCCUUAAGAAAUUCCGAGAGUGGAUUGAGUCCCCAGAUCCAACCAUUCUGGAAAAGUUUGGUGCGCAAAAUGGUUCAGGUGUGACAAAAAGAGGGUCAAAAGUUGGUGACGAUGAUACAAAUUGUGCAAAUAGCAAUGUGGAUGGAAUUAAUUCAUUUGGCCAGAACAUUCCUCAAGGUCAUGAGCAAGACCAAUCUGCAGAUUACUUUCAAGAGAUAAAGCAGGUUUUCAUGGAUAAGCAUAGAAAUGUGAGCAAGAACUGGCAUGUUCCUUCGUCUUUUCCCGGUGAAGCAGUCAUUUCUGCAUAUUCUAGUCCACAAGUGGACAAAUCAACGGAGCCUUUCACAUGGGGAAAGCCAGAUCUUCAAGUUCUUCGCAGAUUAUGCUGGGAAAAAUUUGGUUGGGGUAUUCAGAAGUCAGAUGAAUUGCUAUUGCCUGUUCUUAAAGAGUACGACAAACAUGAGACUCAAUUACGGCUGGAAGCAUUUUACACUUUCAAUGAAAGAUUUGCAAAAAUACGCAGCAAGAGAAUUAAGAAAGCUGUUAAAGGGAUCACAGGAAAUCUAUCAUCAGAGUUGAUGGAUGAUGAUGUGAAUUCUAAAAGCAGAAGGAAAGGAACAAUUAGGCCUGGUGAAUCUGGUGAUACCAAACCAGAGAGACCUUCCAAGAGAGCAAAGGGAGGUAGCAAUAAGAUCAAAUCUUUGGAAAAUUCUACUACAAGGUGGCCUAGGAAAAGGACCACUGGAGCAUCUGUUUCAUCUGAAGUGGAGAAUCCAGGAAAACAGUGGCAGGCGGAAAGCAGGCAAAGCAACCAUAAAGGAUCCCGUGGGGUUGGAAGAGGUAAAGGAAGAGGUAGAGGCUGUGGAAGAGGAAAAGGAAGGGCAAGAGGAACUCUUGGAUUUGAGCAAUCUGAUUCGAGCCCUGAUGAUGUCAGUGGUGGUGGAGAUGAUGAGCUGGAAGUUGAUGCAGAGAAGUCAGAGAGGCCACAAGAAGUACGAAGGUCAUUGCGCUCGCGGAAGCCAGCAAGUUACACUGUUGAUGACUUGGAAAUUGAUGACGUGGACAAGUCACUACACCAGGGUGAUACAAGGUUGAAUGAGGAAGUGCUAGAAGCAGGUAUAUCUGGAGUUCAAGGGGAAUGUAAAAGUGCCGAUGCUAGCCUUAAUGGUGAGGAGCAGCAUAAAGUGGAAGAUUCUUUGCCUGAGGACUUCUCUGAACACUAUCUUGAACACGCAGUGGGAUUUUUAGCUGAUGAAGAUGGAAGUGGUCAGGCUGGUGUGGCCAAAAAUACUUACCCUUCUGAACCUGGUGUCUCUAAUGAUUACCUUGCAAUGGGAGGUGGGUUUUGCGUGGAUGAAAGUGACACAGGUACCUACCAAGAUGUAUGUCAUAGACCCUCCAUGGCUGCUGAAUGGGAAACCGUUGAUUCAUCCCACUUCACUGGUCUCAUGGAAGAAGCUGCUUCUGGUAAAAGUUCUUUUCAAUUAGUUUCUAGUGUCAAAAGAAGUUUGAACGAUAGCGAAGAUGGAGGAAAGACAAAUGCUUUUGAUACUGAGUUGAGUGGGGAUUGCAUAAAUGAGAGAGACACCGGUGAUCAUUCCAAACUAAGUUUGUCUCUGCCAGAAAGCACUGAAAACGAUGCUGGGGGGUCAAGUAUAAGAAGUCUGAGCGCAAUGCCUUUCUUGAAAAGAAAACGGAGAAAGAUUUGAAAACUACCCAGAAUUUAGGAUGAACCGGAUGUAUUUUCCCUGUAAAUAUUCUUAUUUAUCUGGUUUUUGUAAUUCUCCUCCUCGCUUCUUUCUGAUUGAGAUUGUUAUAUAUUAACUUUAAUAUUUCUAUGCGGAACUUUAUGAUUUAUUAAUUGUUUUGCUCUUUAUGUACUCUGAUUCGAUCUUAUUUUAUG
rnacentral:misc_RNA from 1 species